GGGAAGCCCCUACUUUCCAGGAUGACCCUGAGUAAACCCACAGGGUCAACCCCCAUUAAACUUACCCUGAAUAUAGAGCACCCUAGCCCAAGAGACGCGGGGGAAUAUGUGAUGGGGAUGUACUGGAAGGGGGGUGGCUCUCAUAAUGCAUUGGGGACAUUUUACCUACAAGAUAUGCUCACCUCCUCAGACUGGGUAGGGA